GAUGUUACUUCAACUGUUUGUUUUGAAAGUCACAACUUAUCUAAUAACAGUAAAAUUAGUACAAAAGAAGCUCAAAACAUGAAUAAAUACAUCUUUCAAUACCUAACUUCCGUGUAGCCUCAUGCAAAAUUUAUUUCAAAAUAUGAGACAUUUAACAUCAUAAUUGAAUCUUUUUGGUUUCUAAUAACUCCUGCAUAUGCCUUGAUGACUUGAUAGAAUGAUAGAGUUAAAAUAGUUAAACCUUGUCGGCAAAGGGUUCACGGAC